rnacentral:rRNA from 1 species
CAGCAGCCGCGGGAAUACGUAGGUGGCAAGCGUUGUCCGGAAUUAUUGGGCGUAAAGGGCUCGCAGGCGGUUUCUUAAGUCUGAUGUGAAAGCCCCCGGCUCAACCGGGGAGGGUCAUUGGAAACUGGGAAACUUGAGUGCAGAAGAGGAGAGUGGAAUUCCACGUGUAGCGGUGAAAUGCGUAGAGAUGUGGAGGAACACCAGUGGCGAAGGCGACUCUCUGGUCUGUAACUGACGCUGAGGGGCGAAAGCGUGGGGAGCGAACAGGAUUAGAUACCCCCGUAGUCCCUGUCUCUUAUAC